rnacentral:snRNA from 1 species
GUGCUUGCUUCGGCAGCACAUAUACUAAAAUUGGAAUGAUACAGAGAAGAUUAAAAUGGCCCCUGCGCAAGGAUGACAUGCAGAUUUGCCAAGCAUUCCAUAUAUAU